rnacentral:rRNA from 1 species
UACGUAGGCAGCGAGCGUUGUUCGGAAUUACUGGGCGUAAAGCGAGUGUAGGCGGUUUGGUAAGUCGGAUGUGAAAGCCCCGGGCUCAACCCGGGAAGUGCACUCGAUACUGCCAAGCUAGAGUAUCGGAGAGGCUGGUGGAAUUCUCGGUGUAGAGGUGAAAUUCGUAGAUAUCGAGAGGAACACCGGUGGCGAAGGCGGCCUGCUGGGCAGUGGCUGACGCUGAGGCGCGACAGCGUGGGGAGCAAACAGG